rnacentral:tRNA from 1 species
GCACCCGUAGCUCAGUAGGAUAGAGCGACUCCCUCCUAAGGAGUAGGUCACAGGUUCGAUUCCUGUCGGGUGCGCCA